AACUGAUACUACCUGCGGGAACCUGCGGAAGGAUCAUUACCGAGUUUACAACUCCCAAACCCCUGUGAACUUAUACCUUUACUGUUGCUUCGGCGGGUCAUUGCCCCGGGGAAACAGGUGCCGCCAGGUCCCUGCCCCCCCGGAAACAGGCGCCCGCCGGGGGACUCAAACUCUUCUGUAUUUUUUGUUUACUGUAUACUGUCUGAGUAAAAAUUCAUAAUGAAUCAAAACUUUCAGCAA
rnacentral:misc_RNA from 1 species